CGGUGCUCGAGCUGUGGUGCGUGCCGCUAAGUUGUGCGUUCCAGGGUGCACUCGCCGGCGAGGCUGCACGGCGCCGGUUUCAUUGCUAAAAUCCGACGGACUUGUUGCAGAACUCGUUUUUUUUGUCGGGAAAGGGCUUCCCCGUGUAACUUUACAGCAGUUAUCGUAGAUAAGACUUGCAAAUUACAGAUGUGGACGGUGAGGGAACGGGAAUUUCACUGAAAGCGCCUGAGAACCAGUAAGAGACCUGCAACAGCUUUGUGCUCCACUGGCGAAUGCUUCCUCCCCUAAUACACAUUAUGUGUGCUUGGAGACACAAGGAGUAAGAUACAGCCCCUCAAGGGACUCGUCAUAGGGAGAGGACACAGCUUUGGGAAUAAAGGGGCCACAAAGGAGGAGAGAGGAGUUUGCUGAAACUUCCCAAGCUCCCAUUCCAGCAGUUCCUGAAGGAUUCAUUUCUCUCUGAGGAUCUCAUGAGGUGGCUUAGCAGCUAGAAUCUCUUCCUUAACAGUGGGAAGAACAACUCCUGGAAAUUUAGGUCGACUUUGACUGGAUUUAAAAGAAAGCUGUACAAUUCCACUUCUGUAUAUACAACCAAAGGAAAUGAGAUGUGCAUACCCAUGUUCAAUGAAGCAUUAUUCACAAUAGCCAAAAUGUGGAACCAAUCCUUAAACAAAAGGAAAACAGAAAAUCUGCUCAAGUCCCUGCAGGCACCUGAGAAAAUCACAACCCACACUUGCGAACCCCUAGGAGACCUAAAGCUGUGGUUUUACAAAUAAACAGAUAAGUAACAUUCCUACUCUUUCCUAUAGGUACUCAAUCUUCUUAACAACUCCCAUCCCACACAGGUUUGCAUCCCCAGCAGAUACAUAUGGCUAUGUGGUCACCCAUUCGAUCAGCCUAUAAAAGACUUGUCUUAUUUGAUAUUGUGAAACCCAUGGUUAUCAGUGUAUAUGAAAAUGUUUGGUUCAGGGGUCAAUGUACAAUAUGACAAGCAAAGUCCUCUAAUACACAGUUAUAUAAAAUCACUCACCUGAGAGCCAAGUGGACAAUUGGCCUUAUAUUGGCUGGAGUUGGAGCCCCAGAGGGAAAAUUUGCCUAUUAUUAGGCAACUCUUCAAAACUUUACUUAUUCGUUUCUAAACACUGUCUCAUAAAAUGGGGGAUGCUUUAGAUGAAUUAAGAUUAGCACUAGAUUACUUAUUCGUUGAAAAUUAGCACUAGAUUUCUUAUUGGUUGAACAAGGAGGAGUGUGCACCAUAAUCAAUAUAACCUGCUGCAGUUAUGUAAACACCUCAGGUCACAUAGAAGAAGAUAUACAGAAAAUACAUGAACAAGCUGUGUGGUUGCGUAAAUAUAACCAAGGCACCAAUCCCAACUGUAUCUGGUCAGCCAUUAGAAGCACCCUCCUGAGUCUCACUUGGUUGUUGCCCUUCCUAGGAACUUUGAUAGUUGUCUUAUUAUUAAUCUUUGGCCCUUGCUUGUUUAAAUUCUUGGUAAAGUUUGUGUUUUUUAGAUUACAACAAUUCCACAUAAAGAUGAUACUGACACAAAGCUUCCAAUCCAUCCCGUCUUCUGAACCGGGAAAUAAAGACACCCUGCCUUUAGGUGUCUUUAGAUCUAGAUCAGGCAUCUAGAGAUUUUUACUCCUCCAAUACUUGGCAGGGUCUAUGCCCGUAGACUCAUCAGGAUACCAUGUAAAUGAGGACCUCCCUUGGUACCCCAGAGGCCAACUGUAGACCCUUAUGAGAAAAUCCUGUCCCCAAAAUGAACAUCCACUGUCAGCAGGAAGAAGUUACAGAAGACCAGCCUUUGCCCUUACGAUUAAGGGUCCUCUUGUAAGUAGAGAGGGGAAUGUUAGGAAAGCAGGAGCCUAGGUGAUCCAGAGUGACACCAUUUUAAAAUAAACUCCACCUGAAAACUAGCAAGGCAUCUGCACACAUCUGUUUAGCAAGUAUAUACUUCUGUAACUGGAAUAAAAAGCGUUAUUUUAGAAUAUGCCUAUAGUUUGUAAUAAUUAGCCGAGGGAAAAAAAGUUCACAUUGGUGUAGGAAAAGUGCCCUAAUGGUCAUGGGUAAUAAUGGGACCGUGGUUCUGGUCAGUGAUUUGAUGGAAGGGGUGUAGAUAAUAUAUUGUUGUAAAUAAUAAAAAUAAAAAAUUGUUGUAAGUAAUAAAAAUAAAAUAAUAUUGUUGUAAGUAAUAAAGUAGGAGAAAUAUUUGGUCUUUUGCUUUUGGGUUAGUGCAACAGUAGUACCAUUACUUGGAGGAGAAGUUAGAGAAGGACAAGAAUAGGCUUGAAUAAGAUGAGUGAGAAGAGAGAAAAAUUCCGUAAGUGGAGAUGGCCAGGGAACACCAGGGCAGCAGAAUCUAACUCUGAAUUUAAUGCUGUUGUCUGUUCAUAUUGCACUGCGCUGUAAUCUCCCUAUCUUUCCUAAACCAUUGGCAAAGUCUGCUAUCCACUGGGGCCUUGGGUCGGUGGUGCUUUGGGAAAUACCAGAAGAGGGAAAGUACGGCAAAUGUGCAGUGUCACAGAUGAUAGGAGGAAAGCUGGCCAGUGGGAUGAUUAAAACAAUUUCGGUGGGAGUGGGAAUUCAGACCAUGUAAAUGGUCUGAAUUAAGAAAAUUUCAAGAAACAAAAAAUGUUUCUAAUGAGCCAAAGUGAAAGCUCUUCAUGAUUUCUUUAUAGAGGCUCUCUAGUGCUUGUCCUAAUUUCCUGAAAUCUCAUGGGUAUCUUACUCUCCUGGUGCCCGCCUCAAACAUUCACUGUAGCAAUUAUAUGAGCAGCCUAGAGAAUCCCAAUCCCAGUGGUCUUGCUCCCUGGAUCUACUUUCUCUUAAAAAUCAUUCCCCUAAGUUUCCGUCACUUGGUUGAAGUUUAGUAGAUAUCUCCACAUCUCCAGCUAGAACAGCACCAGAAUUUCAGGACUAGGGCAAUAGAGUCUGAUAUUAAAUUCUAUUUCUAUCUAUCUAUCUAUCAUCUAUCUAUCUAUCUAUCUAUCUAUCUAUCUAUCUAUCUAUCUAUCUACAGAACAAUUUGUGGGAUAGUAGCUUUGGGGUCCCAGAUCUAGGAUGGGCCUGGUCCUCCAUGCUGGUUCUCCUGGGUGAUAUUUCUGUUAGUUUGAACAGUAAUCACACUUUUAUUACUGUUUCAUCUUUUUUUUUUCACUCUUAGACUGAUUUUAUCAUGUGUAUAAAACAUACACACACCUACAUCUCAAGGAUAAACAUUAAUCCUUGAAAAAUAUGUGGUCUAAAACUAUAUUGAGGAGAGAAAGAUAGGACACUUUAAUUGCCACAUGAUUAACACGAGGUCACCACACAGCUUUCACAAAUCUACAAGUCAUUCUAUUUAGGCUGAGUCAAGUUCUCCCUUGGGCCAGCCAGAGCACAAAUAAUGGAGCAAUGUGACUCUUCAAUGACAGAUCUCUGAUUUCCAGAAAAGAGACUUUGAAAUACCCAAUUCUAGUAAAUAUGCAAUUAAAUUUCCAGCUAAAUGACCUUUGCUCCUGUAGUCUUCAUCUUGGGGAAGGGAAAGAAGUCUUAUUCUGUUUAAUAGUUUGAUUUUUAUAAUAGGGUUUGUCUCUGUUAUAAAUCUUGUUUGAUAUUUAAAAUGUUAGCUAAGAGAAAACUUCUGUUUGUUUUUAUUUAGUGGGAAGAAACUAACCCUCAUUGAGUGCCUAGUUAACAUCAGGCACUUUGUACACAUAAUCAAUUGAAUCUUGACCACAACCCUGUGAGGUGAAAAAUGAGAAGAUUAAAUAAGCCAUGGGAAGAUUUUUUAAAAUGACAUGAAACUCCAAGGGUAAAAAGUAGGCUGGGAAAUCUUAGGAUGGUGAACCAUCAUGUUUCCUGAAUGUGAAUCCUGUACCUGGUUUGACUGUAGUCACCCCUUCUCCAACACUCUCCACGAUGCCGGCUGCCUCAUGGCCUAAAAUCACAGGAAGUGGGGUCACCAUGGUACCACUAACCACGUGGUCAUCUGUGCCACAGAUUCCUACAGCCACCAUCUACAGAGUGAAGAGAAGAUGUUUAUAAAAGAUUGUGAGUCUCAGGAUGUUCAACAUGAUCAAUGCCAAAUAAAUAUCAGAAUACUUGGAAGUAAAGUACUAAUAGUAGGAGUUCCUGAUUAUCAGGUGCCUAUGAUGUGACAGGCACAUUGUGGCCUGUGCUCGACCAGGAGACUGGUGAGUCCUUGUGGAUUUCUUCCCUGCUCAAGUGCAUAAAGCAGGUGUAUUGCAUAGCUUUUCCAGGCUGAGAUCAAAGACGGAGAUGUGCCUACCCGCAGAUCCUAGAUGGCCAUGUUUGCAACAGAGGUAAUGAUGAGCAGUGCGAAGAUGUGACUCCAAAGCCUGGAGAAGGACAGACCAGCAUCCCUGCAAGAGAUCCAACUGUCUUCUUUUCCGCAGAGGUCCAUAAUUUACAUGGGCCUGACAAAGAAUACUGUAACUUGCAGAAAUUAUCUUCAGUUCAAAUCCUUCAUUUUGGGGGUUAAAUAACUUGGUAAGAUAAUGAGAUUAAUAUUAUUGUAAAGAUUGCUAGAAAGAAUUGUAACAGUUCAUGUAUGUGCAUAAAUAACAACCUUAAAGCAUGUUUUGGGAUGAGGUGCAAAAUGAAAAUUGGGAGAGGGACUUUAGUAGCAGUAAACAGAACUUGAGAAUGGAAUAGAUGCAUACUCUAUAGCACACUGCAAUAAAUAGAAUACAUUUUAAGUUCCUAGAGAAAUUUUUGAAAAUGCCACAUUCAAAGCCAUCAAUCCCUACUCAAUUAGCAUUUCAUUUUGAUUUUGGUACUGAAGCCCAAGAUGUCGAGGGAGCGGAAAUACUUGCUGGUCUUGCAGCGGCUGUGGAGCCUGGAAUCCUGCCAAGAAGAGCAUGUGUGAGAGAUCAAAAUGUUUGCUUACAUUCCUCCUGUGAAGGGAGUUGGGAAAUAACCUAAGAAGCCCAAUCCAAAAACAAAGAUGUACCAUCCAGUCUUCUCUGUGAGAACCAAACUACAAACCAUCUGAAUGUUCCAAAAGUGUUUUGAUGAUGUAUUGAUGUAUUUUAAAUUAUCCUGAAAAUGUUCUUGGCAGAUGCUUAAACAUGUAAUUACUGAGAUGAUGUAGAAAUACCAAGUGUUUAUUAAAACAAUACAGAGUAAUACAAAUGGUAUGUUUGUCGCAAUAUAAAAGUAUCUAAAAAUUAAAGAGUUCUUUAAUGGUGGAGAUUGUUUUCCUUUUUGAAGUUAAAAUAUAAAUUUUUGUAAAAAGCACAAAUUAUUACUAUUUAUAGCUAACAUUUAUGGAGUGCUGACUAUGCUCAUUUUUGAGCAUACAUUGCCUCAUUUAGUGCAAUGUUUAGCAUUAACUUAUGAGGUAAAUGCCAUUGCCAUGCACAUUGUACAGAUGAAGACAUUGAGGUUUAGAGAGAUUGCAU
rnacentral:lncRNA from 10 species